rnacentral:ncRNA from 1 species
UCGCCUGGCUCAAUUUUACGGGCGUCUUUAUUGGAAACGAUAAAGAAGAUUACUUGCCAAAUUCGGGGAAGCCCACGUUGAAAAAACUAGGUAAUCCCGAGCUAAGCUCUGAUGUUUUGUAUCAGAGAAAGUGUAGAGACUAGAUGGUAAGCACCGUCAUUAAAUAAUGAUUUACGGUGAAGGGAUAGUCCAGACUACAAACUGUUUUUAUCAGCAGGGCAACGAAAGUUGUAG